GGUUACUCUAAUUGAGAAGGGGGGUGGCCCUCAGGUAGAAUUUUACUUUAAUGCAAAGAAAAGAAAACACAAGGGUACACCGUUUAGGAGAUAAACCCUUUAGUGUGAGGAGUAACCCAAGAGUAAAUAAAUAAAACGUCACUUUUAAUAUAGGUGUGCCAGAUCCAUCUGUCUUGGAAUUACUGUUAUUUCAUGCUCAUUUGUCUGUUUGUUCAUGCAUUUUGUAGCGGAGAGCUGAUUUUCCACAGCUUAACUCCACCAAGUACUUUAAGAGGAUGCAGGAACAAGUAAUAAAUCCAAGAGAAUAUCCAGCACAAUCAGCAUUACAAUCCAAUAAUAUCCCAUCACUUUCCCCAAUCACUGGACGACACAUAGUAUCAGGAGUAGAACUGAACUUUUAAUCACACAACCUUCUUUUAAAGCAUUCUCCCAUGCAAGGGAGGGAUUUACAGUAAUUACACAAUACACCAAUCAUACACGAG